GAGGCCCUCUUGGACAACACUUCCUCUCCUGCCCAUGGUGGGAGGUUGGGAAGGACAUUCCCCCAUUUCCAUUUGCUCUGCCAUUCAAAACCUUGUGAGGGCCCUCAGGGAAGAAUCCCUUUGCAGAUGAGGAAACUGAGGCCCCACGUGGUGAAGACAAUUUUUACCCGAAUCCACCCACAACAAGAGACCAUUUGGAUAAUGUACAUUAUGGGAAGAGAACAGAGUCUCAGUGAAGAUCAUGUUUCCCCAGCAACACAGGUGCCAGGAGUAGCUGGCUCUGGUCCCAGCCCAGACUCAGAAAUCCUGAGCCACCAGACCAUUUCUAGAUUAACAAAGGCCUGCAUUAAUUUGAUUUCAGUGACCCACUGGAAACCAGUGUCAGCAUAACAACAGUUACGAGAGCUAAACCUACAAAAUAGAAACACAAGUAAAACUUGUUCAAGUGGUUUGCAGUCAUUGAACAUAGAUCAGCUCCUAUGAAAACAAACUCCAUGGGUUUUCUUUGAUGGCAGUUCUGCUCUAAAGAUGGAUAAGGAAGGAGGUUCCAAGAUGGCCGAAUAGGAACAGCUCCAGUCUACAGCUCCCAGCAUGAGCAACGCAGAAGACAGGGGAUUUCUGCAUUUCCAAUUGAGAACACAGGAGCUAUGUGGAGAGUUGAUGGAGGGACAUUCCAGGCAGAGAGAACAGCAAACACAAAGGCCUUGAAGGGAGCGGUGGCUUACAUCUGCAAUCCCACCACUUUGG
rnacentral:lncRNA from 1 species